rnacentral:misc_RNA from 1 species
AACGGUCUAUACCUGCGGUACCUGCGGAAGGAUCAUUACUGAGUUAGGGUAGUUACUCACUGCCCGACCUCCCAACCCUGUGUCUACCACACUUUGUCGUUGCUUCGGCGGACCGGUUGACCAACUGGUCGUGACCGCCGGGGGCUGGCUUUGUCCCCCCUGGAGAGCGUCCGUCGAUGGCCCAACCACAAAACUCUUGUACCGAAACGUGUCGUCUGAAUUAUAUUUGAGAAAUCAAAA